rnacentral:rRNA from 1 species
UGAGGAAUAUUGGUCAAUGGGCGAGAGCCUGAACCAGCCAAGUAGCGUGCAGGAUGACGGCCCUAUGGGUUGUAAACUGCUUUUAUAUGGGAAUAAAGUGAGGGACGUGUCCCUUAUUGCAUGUACCAUACGAAUAAGGACCGGCUAAUUCCGUGCCAGCAGCCGCGGUAAUACGGAAGGUCCAGGCGUUAUCCGGAUUUAUUGGGUUUAAAGGGAGCGUAGGCUGUUUGUUAAGCGUGUUGUGAAAUGUAAGAGCUCAACUUUUAGAUUGCAGCGCGAACUGGCAGACUUGAGUGCGCACAACGUAGGCGGAAUUCAUGGUGUAGCGGUGAAAUGCUUAGAUAUCAUGACGAACUCCGAUUGCGAAGGCAGCUUAAGGGAGCGCAACUGACGCUAAAGCUCGAAGGUGCGGGUAUCGAACAGG